rnacentral:rRNA from 1 species
CCUUGUACACACCGCCCGUCACACCAUGAAAGCCGGUUCUACCAGAAGCCGCCCUGCUAACUUCGGAGGCAAGCGCCCAAGGUAGGACUGGUGAUUGGGGUG